rnacentral:rRNA from 1 species
GAUGAACGCUGGCGGCGUGCCUAAUACAUGCAAGUCGAGCGAACGGACGAUAAUCUUGCUUCUCUGAUGUUAGCCGCGCACGGGUGUGUAACACGUGGAUCACCUACUUAUCUGACUGGUAUAACUUCGGGAAACCGGAGCUAAUACCGGAUAAUAUUUUGAACCGCAUGGUUCAAAAGUGAAAGACGGUCUUGCUGUCUCUUAUAGAUGGAUCCGCGCUGCAUUAGCUAGUUGGUGAGGUCACGGCUUAUCAAGGCAACGAUGCAUAGCCGACCUGAGAGGGUGAGCGGCCACACUGGAACUGAGACACGGUCAUGACGCCUACGAGAGGCAGCAGUCUGGAACCUGCGGCAGUGGGCGAAAGCCUGACGGAGCAGGGGGGCGUGAGUGGUGACGGUGUCGGGAGCGUAAAACUCUGUUAUUAGGGAAGAACAUAUGUGUACGUAGCUGAGCAGAUCUUGACGGUAACUAAUAAGAAAGCAACGGCUAACUACGUG